rnacentral:rRNA from 1 species
UUGAAUGGCCGCGGUAUUUUGACCGUGCUAAGGUAGCAUAAUCAUUAGUUUUUUAAUUGAAAGCUGGAAUGAAGGGUUGGAUGAAAAAAAAUCUGUCUCUAUUAAAUUAAAAUAGAAUUUUAUUUUUAAGUUCAAAAGCUUAAAUUAUUUUAAAAGACGAGAAGACCCUUUAGAGUUUUAUAAUUUUAAUUUUGUUUUUAUUUGGUAUUAAUUUAAAAAUAAUAAUGAAAUUAUUUAGUUGGGGUGAUUUAAAAAUUUAAUAAACUUUUUUUUAUUUAAAUAUAAAUUUAUAGAUAAUUGAUCCAAUAUUUUUGAUUAUAAGAUAAAAUUACCUUAGGGAUAACAGCGUAAUUUUAUUAGAGAGUU